rnacentral:rRNA from 1 species
CUCGUAGGCGGUUUGUCGCGUCUGCUGUGAAAACUGGAGGCUCAACCUCCAGCCUGCAGUGGGUACGGGCAGACUAGAGUGCGGUAGGGGAGAUUGGAAUUCCUGGUGUAGCGGUGGAAUGCGCAGAUAUCAGGAGGAACACCGAUGGCGAAGGCAGAUCUCUGGGCCGUAACUGACGCUGAGGAGCGAAAGCAUGGGGAGCGAACA